rnacentral:siRNA from 1 species
UGUACAUAUAGCUCUAUUGAGAGA